rnacentral:lncRNA from 1 species
AUCUGAAGAUUAAAUACGAUGAAGCCUGGGUGAUGCUUGAAGAACAGGCUAAUCAAAUUUUGAAAUUGUCCUCAGACAAGGAUCAUCAAAAUGAAGAGCUCAUAUGCCUGUGUGAAGUGAAUCAGAAGUUGGAGUCUGAAAUGGGGUACCUACGUCAAGAGCUCGGAGAAACUAAACUGAGGGAAAGGAAGCUAGGCGACGAAGUACUUAAGGGAACAAAUGAGAUUGAACAAUGGGAAACUCAGGCUUCAACACUCUUUGCUGAACUUCAGAUUUCUUCUGUCAAUGAAACAUUAUUAGAGGGAAAUGUCUGUGAGCUAGCUGAGAUGUUUCGUGUUUUACAUACUGAGAAAACAGAAUUGCAAAGAAUGGUGGAAAAUCUGAAGAUUAAAUAUGAUGAAGCCGAAGUGAUGCUUGAAGAACAGGCUAAUCAAAUUUUGAAAUUGUCCACAGACAAGGAUCAUCAAAAUGAAGAGCUCAUAUGCCUGUGUGAAGUGAAUCAGAAGUUGGAGUCUGAAAUGGGGUACCUACGUCAAGAGCUCGGAGAAACUAAACUGAGGGAAAGGAAGCUAGGUGAUGAAGUACUUAAGGGAACAAAUGAGAUUGAACAAUGGGAAACUCAGGCUUCAAUACUCUUUGCUGAACUUCAGAUUUCUGCUGUCAAUGAAACAUUAUU